AUUGAACGCUGGCGGCAUGCUUUACACAUGCAAGUCGAACGGUAACAGGCCUUCGGGUGCUGACGAGUGGCGAACGGGUGAGUAAUGCAUCGGAACGUGCCCAAUCGUGGGGGAUAACGUAGCGAAAGUUACGCUAAUACCGCAUAAGCCCUGAGGGGGAAAGUGGGGGACCGCAAGGCCUCACGCGAAUGGAGCGGCCGAUGUCAGAUUAGCUAGUUGGUGGGGUAAAGGCCCACCAAGGCGACGAUCUGUAGCGGGUCUGAGAGGAUGGUCCGCCACACUGGAACUGAGACACGGUCCAGACUCCUACGGGAGGCAGCAGUGGGGAAUUUUGGACAAUGGGCGCAAGCCUGAUCCAGCCAUGCCGCGUGAGUGAAGAAGGCC
rnacentral:rRNA from 1 species